AAACUGAAACCCUAAAACCCCAAUCUCGUCCCCAAUCCACAACGGAGCAACCGAGCUCUCUUCCGCCUCAAUCCCGACCCCAAUCCCUCCUCCGCCUCCUCCGCCGCCGCCUCAACCGCCUCUCGAACCCGACGCCGCCUCCAUCACCAAGGUUUCUUGAAGAAGAAGGUGGAUCUUUGCUCGAUCUCGGCCUCAUUACUUGAGGAGUUCCAGGUUGAGCUCCUCCACCUCCGAUCUCAGCUUGACCUCAAGCUCGAUCUCAGCACCAAACUCAUUUUACAUUGUUUUAUCUUGAGCUAUUGAAGAUGAUGUUGCUCCUCUAACUGAAGUUU